UACGGAGGGUGCAAGCGUUGCUCGGAAUCAUUGGGCGUAAAGCGCACGCAGGCGGUUGAUUAAGUCGGAUGUGAAACCCCCGGGCUCAACCCGGGAACUGCAUACGAAACUGGUCGACUGGAGUUCGGGAGAGGGAAGCGGAAUUCCUGGUGUAGAGGUGAAAUUCGUAGAUAUCAGGAGGAACACCGGUGGCGAAAGCGGCUUCCUUGCCCGCAACUGACGCUCAUGUGCGAAAGCGUGGGGAGCAAACAGG
rnacentral:rRNA from 1 species